CACAAGCGGUGGAGUAUGUGGUUUAAUUCGAUGCAACGCGAAGAACCUUACCUGGUCUUGACAUCCCGGAGACCCUUAGGAACUAGGGGUGCUUCCAUCUGGAAGAAUCUGGAGACAGGUGCUGCAUGGCUGUCGUCAGCUCGUGUCGUGAGAUGUUGGGUUAAGUCCCGCAACGAGCGCAACCCUUGCCUUUAGUUGCCAGCAGUUCGGCUGGGCACUCUAAAGGGACUGCCGGUGUUAAACCGGAGGAAGGUGGGGAUGACGUCAAGUCCUCAUGGCCUUUAUGACCAGGGCUACACACGUACUACAAUGGCCGAUACAAAGGGCAGCGACACUGCGAGGUGAAGCCAAUCCCGUAAAAUCGGUCUCAGUCCGGAUUGGAGUCUGCAACUCGACUCCAUGAAGUUGGAAUCGCUAGUAAUCGUGGAUCAGCAUGCCACGGUGAAUACGUUCCCGGGCCUU
rnacentral:rRNA from 1 species